rnacentral:rRNA from 1 species
AUACCAGCACCCCGAGUGGUCGGGACGAUUAUUGGGCCUAAAGCAUCCGUAGCCGGUACUGCAAGUCUUCCGUUAAAUCCACCUGCUCAACAGUUGGGCUGCGGGGGAUACUACAGCGCUAGGAGGCGGGAGAGGCAAGCGGUACUUAAUGGGUAGGGGUAAAAUCCACUGAUCCAUUGAAGACCACCAGUGGCGAAAGCGGCUUGCCAGAACGCGCUCGACGGUGAGGGAUGAAAGCUGGGGGAGCAAACCGGAUUAGAUACCCGGGUAGUCCCAGCUGUAAACGAUGCAGACUCGGUGAUGGGCUGGCCUUGUGCCAACCCAGUGCCGCAGGGAAGCCGUUAAGUCUGCCGCCUGGGGAGUACGGUCGCAAGACUGAAACUUAAAGGAAUUGGCGGGG